AAAGUAAGUUAUGUGGGUCAAGGUAUGAUGAUUAAUUGGAGUUCUAGUUCAUUUACUUUGAGAAAAUUAGUAGUGUUUAAAGCAGCCUCUUGGGGCACUGAAUACAUUAGCAUGGGAUAAUAAAAUAGGAUCUUCACAAUAUAUUUAUUGGUUUAAAUUGGAUAUGAAGAUAAUGAUUAAUAGGGACAGUUGGGGGUAUUCAUAUUGGGUGGUUAGCGGUGAAAUGCUCGGAUCCAUUCAAGAUGAACUAAAGCGAAGGCAUUUACCAAGGAUGUUUUCAUUAAUCAAGAACGAAAGUUAAGGGAUCGAAGACGAUUAGAUACCGUCGUAGUCUUAACUAUAAACUAUGCCGACCAGGGAUAUGAGUUGUUAGGAAUAUACGAAAGUAUAUUCAAUUUCUUCUUAUGGACCUUGUGAGAAAUCAUAAGUUUUUGGGUUCUGGGGGGGAGUAUGGUCGCAAGGCUGAAACUUAAAGGAAUUGACGGAG
rnacentral:rRNA from 1 species